GAGUCUAAGGUCAUAAAAUGCUGAUUCGUGGGAUAAUCGAAAGGAAACCUGGUGAGAAAAGUCCAUAAUGGAAGGACAAAGGCAGCAAGUGGCAGAAAGCUGAGAGAUGAUAUCUUCCACCAUGCAGAAAGCAAACAUGAACAGGACAUAGGACAAGGCUAUAAACUUUAAAGGCCACUCCCUGUGAAGUACUUAUGUACUUCCUCCAGUAAGUCUCUACCCCCUACACCCUUCCCAAAUAGUUUAACCAAUCAGGGAAAAAGUGUCCAAAUACACUUGGCACUGUUGGCAGCCAUGUUGUUCACAUGCUCUGGUAUGGAUACUGAAGGAUCUCCAGAACCACAGCUACUCACAGUAUCUGGUGAAGUGAAGGGAGCCUGUACCUCUGGCCAAGGCCAUGUCUCCCUUCUAGGCCUUGGAGAGUCAGCUCAGCAAUGUCUUUGGCAGAGGAUCCCAUGAGAGGAGUAUAAUGAAAUUAUUUUAAUCAUGUUUACCUAAAAGAAGUUGCGAAUCCACACUGUACUGAGUUUCAGGAAACAGAGAGCCUGGCUUCCUUCCACGCUGGGGAGAGAAUGGUUUUCAUAAGAUACCCAGGCAUUACUGAUGACCAGGAGAAUUUCAAAUAGACUGCAGAAGGACCAUUUGUAUGUAUCAGGUGAUCUGCAGGAAGUUCUUCCCUUCUCUGAACAGAAUCUGACAUCAUGCCAAGAAGACAUGCAGUCCUGUGUACUGCGACUCACCUGCUGUUUCAUCUUUGUAUUCAUCCAUAGUAGGUGCCUACGGGAAGUUCAUCUAACCUGUGAAAGAUGUGGCCUCUUAACAAACACAUGUCUGGGUUGCUACUUGGUCCCAGCGUACAACAUGGAGCUCCUUAAUAGGAGUUAAUGGGACAUUUUAAAGAGAAACUCCAACUUCGAGGGACCCAGAAAGAAACAGUCCAGCAGAAGCGAAACAGGGCCUGCUCCACAGACUCACUCACUAAAGAGAUGCAGUGAUCCUGGCGGGCAGACAUAGAUGAAGAACACCGUGAGGGCUGAUGCUCCGGAGUCUUGCUGUGGUUUAAGAUGGACUGUUCAUGGGUGAUUCUGGACUGUGUGCUUUCAAAUAAAGAAAGUCUGUCAUUAGUGGCAAGAUAGGAAGUGGAAGUGGAUAGCCUGUUACCACAGAGAUGAAGGGAAGAUAGCAACGAGAAUUUGAGAUGGCCAUCUACCCUGUACCAGGUUCAUAUCCAUAUGCUGAGGUUCCCAUCCUGAUCCCAGAGCUCCACCACUUCAGGAGACAAAAGGGAGACUUACAUAAAGGGUUUAUCCCAGAUCUACACUCCCUUCACCUCCCCUUAGAAAAGAGCAGGCCUCCCAGGGACAUCAAUCAACUACAUCAUAACAAGCUACAAGAAGACAGACAUAUAUUCUCACAUCAAAGCUGCACAAGGAAACACAGUAGCUCUCUAGGUCUGCAGAUUGUAGCACGAUUGUCUUUACCUACAGCCAAUAUCCAUUGACAAGGGACAGACAGUGUUUGAUAGACCUUGGCCCCCACUUGAACCCUGCAGUCUGCUCUUCCUUGGAAAGAAUCCCAUUUCAGACAGACACUUCUGGCAGAAGGUGCUGACAGACGUGGGAUGAGGCCGGAACUCGUGUCCUGUGACAAUCACCAGCUUUCUGAGGCCUACUCAUGUGUCUGUGCAGAAUGGCCACUUCUGGAUUCUGUUUUCAAUAAACAACAGUGAUCCCAA
rnacentral:lncRNA from 1 species